GGGGAGACUAAUACUCAAAUAGGGAGAAGCUCUGCUCUAGUUGUCACUAGGUCUCCCUAUAUUAAAGCUGCCUUUCAAUGACCGGGACAAAUUGAGGGAAAUCGUAACGGGGCAGAUACAGGGCAUGUAGUU
rnacentral:snoRNA from 1 species